UACGUAGGGUGCAAGCGUUGUCCGGAAUUAUUGGGCGUAAAGAGCUCGUAGGCGGUUUGUCGCGUCUGCUGUGAAAACUCGGGGCUUAACCCCGGGCCUGCAGUGGGUACGGGCAGACUAGAGUGCGGUAGGGGAGACUGGAAUUCCUGGUGUAGCGGUGAAAUGCGCAGAUAUCGGGAAGAACACCCGUGGCGAAGGCGGCUCUCUGGGACGGUACUGACGCUGAGACGCGAAAGCUAGGGGAGCAAACGGG
rnacentral:rRNA from 1 species